GGCUCAUUGGUGAAAUGGUAGACACAGGAGAUUCAAAACCUCCCGCAAGAGAUUGCAUAUCGGUUCAAGUCCGAUAUGAGCCACCA
rnacentral:tRNA from 2 species